AUUGAACGCUGGCGGCAGGCCUAACACAUGCAAGUCGAGCGGAGCGGCGGACGGGUGAGUAAUGCCUAGGAAUCUGCCUGGUAGUGGGGGAUAACGUCCGGAAACGGGAGCUAAUACCGCAUACUAUCAGAUGAGCCUAGGUCGGAUUAGCUAGUUGGUGGGGUAAAGGCCUACCAAGGCGACGAUCCGUAACUGGUCUGAGAGGAUGAUCCGUCACACGGGAACUUGGACACGGGCCAGACUCCUACGGGAGGCAGCAGUGGGGAAUAUUGCACAAUGGGGGCAAGCCUGAUGCAGCCAUGCCGCGUGUGUGAAGAAGGCCUUCGGGUUGUAAAGCACUUUCAGCGGGGAGGCGUUACCCGCAGAAGAAGCACCGGCUAACUCCGGGCCAGCAGCCGCGGUAAUAC
rnacentral:rRNA from 1 species